GACGGGGGGGGCUAGUGUUAUUCGGAAUGACUAGGCGUAAAGGGCACGUAGGCGGUGAAUCCGGUUGAACGUGAAAGUCGCCAGCUCAACUGGCGGAAUGCUUUCAAAACCAAUUCACUUGAGUAAGAUAGAGGAUAGUGGAAUUUCGUGUGUAGAGAUAAAAUUUACAGAUAUACGAAGGAACACCAAAAGCGAAGGCAGCUUUCUGGGUCUCUACUGACGCUGAGGUGCGAAAGCAUAGGGAGCAAACAGG
rnacentral:rRNA from 1 species